rnacentral:rRNA from 1 species
UACGAAGGGUGCAAACGUUGCUCGGAAUUAUUGGGCGUAAAGCGCACGUAGGCGGCAUUGCAAGUCGGAUGUGAAAUCCCUCGGCUUAACCAAGGAAGUGCAUCCGAAACUGCAGUGCUUGAGUACUUAAGAGGAUCGCGGAAUUCCCGGUGUAGAGGUGAAAUUCGUAGAUAUCAGGAGGAACACCGGUGGCGAAGGCGGGGUCUCUGGGCAGUAACUGACGCUGAGGAGCGAAAAGCGUGGGGAGCGAACAGG